rnacentral:rRNA from 1 species
GUGGGGAAUAUUGGGCAAUGGGCGAAAGCCUGACCCAGCAACGCCGCGUGAAGGAAGAAGGUUUUCGGAUCGUAAACUUCUAUCCUUGGUGAAGAUAAUGACGGUAGCCAAGAAGGAAGCCCCGGCUAACUACGUGCCAGCAGCCGCGGUAAUACGUAUGGGGCAAGCGUUGUCCGGAAUGAUUGGGCGUAAAGGGCGCGUAGGCGGCCCGGUAAGUCUGAAGUGAAAGUCCUGCUUUUAAGGUGGGAAUUGCUUUGGAUACUGUCGGGCUUGAGUGCAGGAGAGGGAAGCGGGAUUCCCGGUGUAGCGGUGAAAUGCGUAGAGAUCGGGAGGAAUACCAGUGGCGAAGGCGGCUUACUGGACUGUAACUGACGCUGAGGCGCGAAAGUGUGGGGAGCAAACAGGAUUAGAAACCCGGGUAGUCC